rnacentral:lncRNA from 1 species
AUUUGUUAUUGUGCCAGCAUUGUCCUUUUGCUGAAGUAGUUUCCUGCCCUCCUUGGUGUUCCCUGCUUCCACAACGUGUUCUGGACAGAGGGAUUACAUUGCUUUUUUUUGCCUGUGGUUUCCUGGAGUGAAAAAAACACUCUCUUGUGAGACCUGCUUUGCUCCCAGCAUCAUCAAAAGGUGUGAGCUGAGGUUUCAUCUGGGGCUGGAGGAUCUUCUGCGUUUAAGGACUUGCUAAAUCAAAGAAAAACUCAGUGUUUUGGAGCUGUGUGGGCAGUAUGCAAAUGUGCUGUUCCCAAGGAUUAAACCAAACAUUUUCCCCGGUAGUGAGGAAAGUGUGGCUUCAAAGGGCUGGGGGAGCAUUGUCAGUGGAGAGUUCAGCAGGAACUGCAGGGAUGGAUAGGGCAGGGGGGAAUGGAUUCAAACUGAAAGAGAGUAGGUCUAGAUCAGAUACAAGUAGGAAGUUCUUCCAGUUCCUCACCACCCUCACAGGGCAUAGGGUGCCCAGAGAAGCUGUGGCUGCCCCUGGAUCCCUGGCAGUGUCCAAGGCCAGGUUGGACACUGGGGCUUGGAGCAGCCUGGGACAGUGGAAGGUGUCCCUGCCCAUGGCAGGAGUGGGACUGGAUGGGCUUCAAGGUCCCUUCCGACCCAAACCAUUUCAUGAUUCCAAAGUGCUGCUUAGGGAAAUGCUGGUAAGAGCUGAUACUCUCCCUUCCCUCUCUCUCCAAACAGCCUACGUGGUACAGGCACUUCAUGGAAAAUCCGGGCAACUCUUCUGUCCCCAGCCACCCCAAUCUCUCUGUGCCCCCUUGGAUACAAGAGACAGGACCAGUUAUGCUGCAGCCUUGCCUGGUUCGGGGCAGUUUAACUGCUUUUGUGUGGAGCAGAGCCUGAGCUGGCAGUGUGACCUGUGCACCCAGUCCAGCCGUGCGAGUGCCUCAUCAGCAUGGGCUUAUCCCUGCCAGCAGCACCACGAGGAGCCUGCUGAGCGAGUGCAGGGGGAGGACAAGUGA